AUUCCUUUGUUCACAGAACGUGAUUUCCAUGGACUCCAUUUCCAGAAGGUUGAAGAAGAACGGAACCUCAAAUUCCGAAAACUCUGACGGCCGCGACGGCAAGGCGGUCGUCAGAAGAAGGCCGCUGACGAUGACGGAGCUUUUAACAUCAACAAGCUCGACACUCGCGACGAUCAUGUUCGCCUGGUCAAUCAUCCGUCAAUACUGCCCUCACGGCCUCCGCGAAUACCUCCAUAUGUAUUUAGGCAAGUUCAUCGAUUACAUCUAUCCUAAUCCGUACAUUCGAAUCGCAAUCUAUGAAUUCGUCGGCGACCGUCUCAGUCGGAACAAAGCCUUCGCCGCGGUUGAAGCUUAUCUGAGCAAUAAACUUUCAGACGACGCCAAAAGACUCAAAGCCGAGGUCGGGGAAAGCAAGAACAACUUCUCAUUGAGUAUGGAUGAGUACGAAAGAGUUACCGAUAGGUAUGAAAAUGCCGAAUUCUGGUGGACUUUGAGCAAAAUCUCCGGAUUGGCAAAGAAAUCCACCUCUCUGUAUCCAGAACCCGAUCGGAGAUAUUACCAGCUUAAAUUUCACAAGAAGCAUCGAGAACUUGUAAUCGUAUCGUAUUUGAAGCAUGUAUUGAAGGAAGGGAAAGAAAUUAAGGUGAAUCAGAGGCGGAGGAAGCUUUACACUAAUGGAACAGGAAAUCGAUGGCUAAUUCACCGGCAAUCGACGAUGUGGAGCGAAGUUUACUUCGAACAUCCUGCAACUUUUGACACAAUCGGCAUGGAUCCAGAGAAAAAGCAAGAGAUUAUAGAAGAUUUACUUACAUUUAGCCAAAGUAAGGAGUAUUAUGCUCGAAUCGGCAAGGCGUGGAAACGAGGUUACCUUCUGUACGGCCCGCCAGGGACGGGGAAAUCGACGAUGAUCGCCGCCAUGGCGAAUUUGCUGAACUAUGACGUUUACGAUUUGGAAUUAACAGCAGUGAAGGACAAUACAGAGCUUCGAAAGCUUCUAAUUGAGACGACGAGUAAAUCGAUAAUCGUGAUUGAAGAUAUAGAUUGUUCAUUGGACCUCACAGGGCAAAGGAAAGUCAAGAAAGAAGAAAGCUCGAAGGAGGAGGAGAAAAUAAAGGAGAAAAUAAUAAAGGAACCGAAGAAAGAAGAAGAAGAUAUGAGAAGCAGAGUAACUCUAUCUGGAUUGUUGAAUUUCAUCGACGGAAUUUGGUCGGCGUGCGGCGGAGAGAGGCUGAUUGUUUUCACAACAAAUCACGUGGAGAAGCUUGAUCCGGCAUUGAUUCGAAGAGGUAGAAUGGAUAAACACAUAGAGCUUUCUUAUUGUAACUAUGAAGCUUUCAAAGUUUUGGCUAAGAACUACUUGAAUGUUGAAACGCAUGAGCUUUUCGAGGAGAUCAAAGAGGUAAUUAAAGAUGCAAAAAUGACGCCGGCGGAUGUUGCAGAGAAUCUCAUGCCCAAAUCACGGCAAGAAGAGGCGGAGACUUCGCUUCGUAGGUUAAUUGGGAGCUUGGAAGAGAUGAAGAGAGCGGCGGAGGAGAAGAAGAAAAGAAAGGAAGAAAAGUCAAAGGAGUCGUCGUCUUCACAGAUAGUCAACGACAAAGAGUCUGAUGAUUAAUUGGUUAAGAUUUUAGCUUGCGGAGG
rnacentral:misc_RNA from 1 species